rnacentral:rRNA from 1 species
UACAGAGGUCCCAAGCGUUGCUCGGAUUCACUGGGCGUAAAGGGUGCGUAGGCGGUCGGGUAAGUCUGAUGUGAAAUCUCACAGCUUAACUGUGAAACUGCAUUGAUACUAUUCGGCUUGAGAGUUGGAGGGGGGACUGGAAUUCUUUGGUGUAGCAGUGAAAUGCGUAGAUAUCAAGAGGAACAUCAGUGGCGAAGGCGGCC